GAAACAUCUCCUGUGGUAAUAAUACUGGAGUGGAAGGAAAAUGAAGUUGUGGCUGUGGCUGUGUCUAACAGGGGUAUGGGCUGCGGGAGCAGCCUUUCAUCCCCAGGAUUCCAUGAAGGUGGCUCCACAAGGGUCUCUGUUUCUUGAAGAUAAUCCCAACUUCUUUGAUUACCCAGAUUCAGCCAGGGACAAAAUCCAGGCUGUCUCCAACUUCAUUGGAGAGAAACCUGUUUACUUCACUUCAGAUUCAGGCUUCAAAUCCAGGUUCUUGCACCAAAUAUUGUUUGGUUCAUUCAUCCUCCUCCUUAUCACCAUCCUCUACCAGUUCUGCACCCACAUGAGUUGCCAAAGAGGGUCCUAAGGAGAUGGACAAUCCAUCUCUGCUCACAGCUCCAUGACAACCUAAACUCAUCCCCUCUACAAAUUACUAAAUAAAAACUACUCAUUCCCUACU
rnacentral:lncRNA from 1 species